GGUGACCUGUGUGGAUGGAGCACUCUACACACUGACGGUGGCCCAGCUGCAACUGCUGUUCAGGAGCCUGCUGGAACUCUGAUGAGGCAGCCAGACUAGUGGGGAUGCACAGAAAUGACAAUGGCAUGCAGUUGGUGGUCAUCAUCUACAAGCUAGGGGCUAAGAAGUCCAAGGAUGAAAUAAACAUUCUGGAUGGGUGUCUGCUCCUACUUACUCCCUCAGAAGAGAGAGAAGAGUGAUUAUCAACAGCAAAUAGCAGUUACCAAAGCAACACCAAGAGCCAACUUCACACUCAGGAGAAAACAUUCCAUCCCCUUGUGUGGUUUCAGGUGCUCUACACAUUCAGAGAAACUUCUCUAGUAACAAACUAUAGAAAUGAUUCCUGAAAGUAUAGUCUUCAUCAAACUUUUUAAAGUG